rnacentral:sRNA from 1 species
GGAGCGAACUUCUCGAUCGUGUUC